rnacentral:lncRNA from 1 species
CCUAUUCAGUGACUGCUUGUUGCUUGCUUAAGACCAAUCAGUUCAAGUCCCUUAAUUUCAAAUCUCCUGUGAGGAAUUUCUGCUACUGUUUGUACAGUAAUUUUCUACUCAACUAAAACUACAAACAGUUCAGCUAUACAUGCACAAAACUCACACCAAAGUUAAUACACAACCAGCAAUGUUAUCAUAAAACCGCACAUCAAAUUAAGAUUUCUCCCUGAAAUGUCAGCUCAGAUCUGCUUACAGAAUUUACAUCAAUUUCAGUAAAAUACACAAGAACAUGGAUAUUAAACCAGAUGCCACGGAUAUGAUUCAAAGCUGAAUGCAAUCUGUUUAAACACACUCCAACUAAUUGAAACCUGAACAAUCCAAUCUGGACAAGAGUGAUGUGAUGCAAUUUAGAAGUUGACGGUGAAAGUAUAGAUGUAGAAAUAAUGAAGUUCAGCAAUAACUCAGAUUCGGCAUUUGCAAGUGAAAAUGAUAUGGAAUUCACAAUCAAGCUUAGCAAAAAUGAAUUGAUGCAGAAUUUUAAAAGAUAAAAUGCAGUAAUCAGAAUUAUGGUCCCAGCUUAAACAAAGCCACUUUGCUGCAUCAUGCACAACUUAAUAUGUCAUCCUGCACAAUGAACAAUCCAAAAAUAGUGAGCAACACAGUUAAAAGAAAACUGAUUCUCUCACAAAUUGCCAAGGAAAACAGGCUAAAGUCAGCCUCACAAAACUCCCAUCACGCAGGUUUCUCUAAAAAAACAAUAAGCACACAAGAAAAGGUUUGGAAGGGAUAUUCUCCCUUGUCAGUUUAAAGCUAGAUAGUCUUUUAGACCACCACCACCUAAGAUGCUACCAAGCACACAAACCCCUUUCCAAAUUCCAAAAAAUCCAGAAUGAAAGUGCUUCUCAAACCAGAGAUGGAUAGGCUAAGCAAAAGCAAUGCAGGUAGACAGAACAGAACAGGACAGCCACAAAAUAAUGAANUUGACAGCACAGGAGACAGACUCAAGAUCAGAUGAAUAAAGCAAUUAAAAGCUAAAAUUAAGAAUAGCAGAACAGUAUGCACUUGAUGGACAAAACCAGAGUUAUCAAUCAAGACAAGCAAGAAACAAAAGCUUUCAAGAAAGG